rnacentral:rRNA from 1 species
UACGUAGGGGGCUAGCGUUGCUCGGAAUCACUGGGCGUAAAGCGCACGUAGGCGGAUCUUUAAGUCAGGGGUGAAAUCCCAAGGCUCAACCUUGGAACUGCCUUUGAUACUGGGGAUCUCGAGUCCGGAAGAGGUGAGUGGAACUGCGAGUGUAGAGGUGAAAUUCGUAGAUAUUCGGAAGAACACCAGUGGCGAAGGCGGCUCACUGGCCCGGUACUGACGCUGAGGUGCGAAAGCGUGGGGAGCAAACAGG